rnacentral:miRNA from 11 species
CCCGAGGGAGCGGCGCCGGGGAGGGGGUCUUCCGUACGCCACAUUUCCCGCGCCCCGCCGCGGGACGGGGAUUCGGCGCUGGGCUCUUCCCUGUUCACUCGCCGUUACUGAGGGAAU